CACAGGGCCAGGUCGGUGUGAUCGGGACUGCAGGACCUGCUGGAUCCAGAGGACGAAUUGGUGAAGUAGGCAUCCUAGGUCCACCUGGGUUAGCUGGCCCUGAGGGAGAGAAGGGGGAUCCAGGACCAAGUGGACUGAUUGGCCCAGCUGGUGUGGCUGGAUUGGAGGGAGUCCCUGGGGAAGGUGGAAGAAAAGGAGAGCGAGGCAAGCCUGGGCCUGCUGGUGCAGCAGGCUCCAGGGGUGAAAGUGGGAGCCAAGGACUCAAGGGCUUUGGUGGGCCUGAAGGACCCAAAGGAGAUGAAGGGGGAAAAGGAGAGACUGGCCAUCAGGUAACUUUAUUCACCACCCUCCCUCCUGCCUUUGUGAGACGAUUCCCCUCACGGCACCCU
rnacentral:lncRNA from 1 species